rnacentral:rRNA from 1 species
GAUGAACGCUGGCGGCGUGCCUAAUACAUGCAAGUCGAGCGAACAGACGAGGAGCUUGCUCCUCUGACGUUAGCGGCGGACGGGUGAGUAACACGUGGAUAACCUACCUAUAAGACUGGGAUAACUUCGGGAAACCGGAGCUAAUACCGGAUAAUAUCUUGAACCGCAUGGUUCAAUAGUGAAAGACGGUUUUGCUGUCACUUAUAGAUGGAUCCGCGCCGCAUUAGCUAGUUGGUAAGGUAACGGCAUACCAAGGCAACGAUGCGUAGCCGACCUGAGAGGGUGAUAGGCGACACUGGAAGUGAGACACGGUCCAGACGCCUACGGGAGGCAGCAGUAGGGAAUCUUCCGCAAAGGGCGAAAGCUUGACGGAGCAACGCCGCGUGAGUGAUGAAGGUCUUCGGAUCGGAAAACUCUGUUAUUAGGGAAGAACAAAUGUGUAAGUAACUAUGCACGUCUUGACGGUACCUAAUCAGAAAGCCACGGCUAACUACGUG